GGUUCAUCCAGUAGAAACUUCAGGUCCAUGCUCAGCUGUUACAAGGACUGGCAGCUUUCACUUUCGGUCUUUUUUUGAAACCAGCUGCCACGUAAGAACUUCAACUUUCCUGAGACCAACAAGCUGUAAAGAAGCAAAGCGCCCAUGUAGAAAGGCCUGGUGGAAUAGUUCUUAAGAAGAGACUUGAUCUUCUGUUGAGGAGCAUUGAGUACCUGUGUUGCCUAAUAGGUGUGCUCCCUCGUGGCUAUUGUUAACACCUUUAUGUCCGCAAGAACCCAAUGUUCAGCUCCCACUUAUAAGUGUUUACUACUAUAAACUUUCUUCUUAACACUGCUAUGACUACAACCCAGAGAUUUUGUGUUGACCUUGGACAAUCUGGUGAUCAUAUUCCUUGGUGAUGUUCAUCAUGUAUAAUAUCUCAAAGUUGUUCUCUGGAUUUUUUUUGUAUCUGGAUGUAUACUUGUCUAACAAGAUUAUUUUUUUUGAAUGAUUCCCUCAAAUAUGUUUUCUAAUUUUUUUUACAAUUUCCUCCUGCUGUCAGAAAUGCCAGUAAUUCAUAGAUUUGUUCAUUUUACAUAAUCCCAUAUUUCUCAAUGACUUUAAUUUUUUUAAAUGCUUUUUUCUUUAUGUUUCCCUAACUAGAUUAGUUUGAAAGAUUAAUCUUCAAGCUCUACAAUUCUUUCCUCUGCCUGUCCUAGUCUAUUGAUAAAGCUUUCUUUUGUAUUUUGAAAUUUCUUAAGUGAGUUUAGAAAGCUCUGACUUUUUAAUUCCAGAAGCUCAUCUUUUCUGUUAAGAUGUUUAUUUCUUCUGUCAUUUCCUGAAUUGCUUUAGAAAUCUCUUUGUGUUGAUUUUUAACCUUUUCUUGGAUCUCUUUGUGCUUCCCUGCAACAAUUCUGGUGGGUUCCCUUUUUCCUUUUCAUAUAAUUAAUCUUUAUGCACUAUCUUGCUAUUUCCAAGUGGCUGAUGCAUGCUAAAGGCCUCUAAUUCAUCACCUUGGAAUAAAAAAAAAAAAUCACUUUUUUCCACAUUAGAAUGUAUUGCAUCAUCUUAGUUAACCAUUACCAUUUUUGUCUUG